UAAGUUAUCGUUUAUUUGAUAGUACCUUACUACUUGGAUAACCGUGGUAAUUCUAGAGCUAAUACAUGCUAAAAAUCCCGACUUCGGAAGGGAUGUAUUUAUUAGAUUAAAAACCAAUGCCCUUCGGGGCUCACUGGUGAUUCAUGAUAACUCCUCGAAUCGCAUGGCCUUGUGCCGGCGAUGGUUCAUUCAAAUUUCUUCCCUAUCAACUUUCGAUGUUUGGGUAUUGGCCAAACAUGGUUGCAACGGGUAACGGAGGGUUAGGGCUCGACCCCGGAGAAGGAGCCUGAGAAACGGCUACUACAUCCAAGGAAGGCAGCAGGGGCGCAAAUUACCCAAUCCCGACGCGGGGAGGUAGUGACAAUAAAUACUGAUACAGGGCUCUUUUGGGUCUUGUAAUUGGAAUGAGUACAAUUUAAAUCCCUUAACGAGGAACAAUUGGAGGGCAAGUCUGGUGCCAGCACCCGCGGUAAUUCCAGCUCCAAUAGCGUAUAUUAAAGUUGUUGUGGUUAAAAAGCUCGUAGUUGAACCUUGGGCCUGGCUGGCCGGUCCGCCUCACCGCGUGUACUGGUCCGGCCGGGCCUUUCCCUCUGUGGAACCCCAUGCCCUUCACUGGGUGUGGCGGGGAAACAGGACUUUUACUGUGAAAAAAUUAGAGUGCUCCAGGCAGGCCUAUGCUCGAAUACAUUAGCAUGGAAUAAUAGAAUAGGACGUGUGGUUCUAUUUUGUUGGUUUCUAGGACCGCCGUAAUGAUUAAUAGGGACAGUCGGGGGCAUCAGUAUUCAAUUGUCAGAGGUGAAAUUCUUGGAUUUAUUGAAGACUAACUACUGCGAAAGCAUUUGCCAAGGAUGUUUUCAUUAAUCAGGAACGAAAGUUAGGGGAUCGAAGACGAUCAGAUACCGUCGUAGUCUUAACCAUAAACUAUGCCGACUAGGUAUCGAGACGAGUGAAUAUUUUUUCGACCCGUUGCGUGCACCUUACGAGAAAUCAAAGUGCUUGGGCUCCAGGGGGAGUAUGGUCGCAAGGCUGAAACUUAAAGAAAUUGACGGAAGGGCACCACCAGGGGUGGAGCCUGCGGCUUAAUUUGACUCAACACGGGGAAACUCACCAGGUCCAGACACAAUGAGGAUUGACAGAUUGAGAGCUCUUUCUUGAUUUUGUGGGUGGUGGUGCAUGGGCUGUUCUUAGUUGGUGGAGUGAUUUG
rnacentral:rRNA from 1 species